GCCCCAAAGCACCCCCCUGUCCCACCGCUUACGUGCAUCCUUCAGGCCGAGCGGUGAAAACAUCCGAAGCCAAGACAGCCGGCGAUACGAGUGUUGCUGCUCUUUGACCGGGAGAGGACAGCGAGGUCAAGGCGUGUUUAUACAAAUCAGUUCAACAGCUGUAAGAAAACAAAGCAUGAAGCUCUGAAGAUACAUUGUUUCACCACUGAAGGAAGGAAUAAAAGACAUCAUCAUUCAAAAAUGUUUCUGAAUUGGCAACUUACAUCCGUUAGUCAGUAUACAGAUAUUUCUGUAAGGAGAAAUCAAGUUUUAAUUUGGUGAUCCUGCCUACUUCAAGAUGUGAUGUGACAAACCAAUAGGAACUGUGGAUUCCCCAUCACAAUUUGGCCUUAGUUUUCCUCUUAACUAACUUCUUAAUAUCUCCCAUUGGUUCUAAAUAUAUUGAAUACUCAUCAUUGACUGGAAUAUUUGGACAUAUCCAAAGUUCAGUUGAUUUGCUUGUUAUCUCCUCGACGUUAUGUGUAACUCAUUGUAUUCUGACCUUCAUUUAUACCUUAUCAGGGGCACCAGCCUUAGCCUUGCUGGUGUAUGCAAGGCUAUUUCAGCAACCAAAUAGCUUGAGACCCUGCAGAUCUAAUACCAAUUCCCUCUUUGGUACAAGUCUAUGUCCUACUGUGUGUUUGAAUCAUAUUUAUCCUACUAGUUUCCUCUUGCCAGAAAUGGGAGAGAUCGGUUGGACAGCUCAUCCAUUGCUUUCCUCCAACUCAGCUUGUUAAUGUCAAGGCUUCCCUCCAUCUCAGCUGGCUGUCAACAGGAUUUCCUCCAACUUGGCUUGAAACUAAUCAUUGUUCAAAAUGUUCCAGCAGAAUCUUCAGCAAAACAAGCAGUACUAUGAUUUUAGGAAGAUUUUCAUUAAAAAAAAAUCCAUUAUGUAUAGUGAAAGUUCAAUGACCUACUUUAAAGAAACAAAUUUAGGCAUGUCCUUGAAGCAACAUUAAAUGUGCUUGUAGCACUACAGUGGUCCUCCAGUGAAAAAGAAAUCAAUCAGCUGAAUAAAAUGGAGAAAGUAAUCAGAACAAGGAAUUAAGGCAUCCACAGUCAAGAGAUACUAAAUAAAGUUUUACUUCCGGGAAUAGUUGGACCUGAACAAAAUUAAAAAUAAUUUAUAGGGGACUGUGGUAUAUUUUAUGGUUUUAUUCCUAUAAAAGUAAAGGCCUUUAAGAUUAAUGUGCCUGAUAUGAGAAUUUCUGGGGAAAGUUAUAAGUAAACUUGAUUGCAUAAAGUGUGUAUAUAAACCAUGUUGUUAAUAGUAACGAUUUUGUUUAAUUUAUUGCACAUACAUAAAAUCUAUGUUUUUUUUAAAAUGUAAAAUCUUAUUAAAAUGUGGUAUAUUUCUAUUGUUU